rnacentral:tRNA from 1 species
UAGCUCAGCGGCAUAAGCGCCUGCCUCGCAAGCAGGUAGUCGUGAGUUCGAUCCCCAC